rnacentral:rRNA from 1 species
CUGGUUGAUCCUGCCAGUAGUCAUAUGCUUGUCUCAAAGAUUAAGCCAUGCAUGUCUCAGUGCACGCCUUUAUACGGUGAAACCGCGAAUGGCUCAUUAAAUCAGCUAUGGUUUAUUGGAUCAUACCCGUUAAAUGGAUAGCUGUAAUAACUCUAGAGCUAAUACAUGCCAUUAUGCCCUGACCCUCACGGGAAUGGGUGCACUUAUUAGAUCAGAAGCCAACCGUGUACGGCCGAAAGGCAGUGCAUGUUGACCUUCUGGAGACUCUGGAUAAUUGUUACAGAUCGCAGUCGGCCUUGAGUCGGCGACGGGUCCUUCAAAUGUCUGCCCUAUCAACUUUCGAUGGUAGGUGACCAUGCCUACCAUGGUGAUAACGGGUAACGGGGAAUCAGGGUUCGAUUCCGGAGAGGGAGCCUGAGAAACGGCUACCACUUCCAAGGGAGGCAGCAGGCGCGCAAAUUACCCACUCCCAGUACGGGGAGGUGGUGACGAAAAAUACCGAUGCGGGACUCUUAACGAGGCUCCGUAAUCGGAAUGAGUGAACUAUAAAUCCUUUCACGAGGAUCAAUUGGAGGGCAAGUCUGGUGCCAGCAGCCGCGGUAACUCCAGCUCCAAUAGCGUAUAUUAAAGUUGCUGCAGUUAAAAAGCUCGUAGUUGGAUCUCGGUAUCACUGUUGCUCGUCAGUCCUUAGGCGGUAGACUGCGUGUGCAUGGGUUUGACUCGUGUUGCCGUGGUUUGUCGUCCGAGUUGGCGGUGUGACGGUGUCGCCUUUCAGCCAUGUCUGUGGUGAAAUACCCGCAGGUGUAGGCGAGUGUCAGGCGGUGCCUUGCGAAAGUAGGGCUCGUCGGCUCGUCUGCAUGCCUUUGGAUGCCCUUUAAAAGGUGUCUGUGGGCGGAUGGCACGUUUACUUUGAACAAAUUUGAGUGCUCAAACCAGGCCGAUGUUGCCUGAAAAGUUUUGCAUGGAAUAAUGGAAUAGGACUUCGGUUCUAUUUCGUUGGUUUUCGGAUCCGAAGUAAUGAUCAAAAGAGACAGGCGGGGG